AACAGUGUACUAGCGGAGGUGACAUAGUGGAACCGGAGCUCAACUCUUGCUGGCAUUUUAGCAGGAACAUCAAAGAUUUUAAGUAUAUUGAAAAUAUUUCCACGACCACGACAAACAUCAGCAUUGCCCGACCGACGUCAACGUAGCUCCUGCAGAGUCUGC